AUGAAGAUGCCGAGUCAUGUAAUAUCUUCAAAGAAGAGAGAAUCUGCAUUUUAUGAAUGUUUUAUUCUUUCUUCAUCGUUACCUCAAGUCAGUGAAUUCAGCUCAUUACAAGCUUCAGCUGGAUCGAAUAGUGGGCCUUCUAUAUAUAUAUUCAGCUGUAUCAUUUCUUACUAUAUAUAUCUUCCUGUCGACCAGACGAAACCAUACAUGGAUCCUUCGCCUCCUUUCUUGCUCAGAACCCAUGAUACAACCUCGGCGGCUGUCCAGCGACUAACAGGUAAUUUCUCUUUCAAUUUGAUGAUGAUGGAUGAGAAUCAGUUCUAUGAUUGCAGCUUAUAA
rnacentral:rRNA from 1 species